rnacentral:lncRNA from 1 species
CAAGGAGAUCAAUGGUGAUUAUAGCAAUGGUAGUGACCAGGAUGAUAAUGGUGGUGAGGGUGGUACGUGAUGGUGAGUGUAUACAUGAAAGGGAGAAUGAUGUCAUCCUUGACCUGUAGUGGCAUCACUGCAAUCUUUGUUUCUAUCUCUGCUUGUCAUACCGUCCUCCCACGUGUCUUUGUGUCUCCCAGGGAAACUGGCCAAUGGCUGAGGCUGCCCUGCUUCAGUGUAGCCUCACCUUAACUGAUGAUAUGUGUGAAGACCCUGUUUCCACAGGUUCCAGUGGACAUGGAUUCUAGGAGAACACCUUUUGCUGCAGUCAGUCGCUGCAAGGAUAUCCUUGCCUGGACUGAUGCCCAGAAAGACCAGAGUGCUAACUGCUGGAGCUGUGGGUAGCCAGAGAGGUCAUUGCUGGUCACCCUUCCCAGAAGUCACUUCCAGGAUGGAUGUCUCCUGAGCUGGCCUGGCUGCAGAAAGGGUUCCUGGACUUAGCUGCCAAGACCUGGAAGGUUGAGCAUACUUCACUGUGGACCUGUCUGUCACCUCCAAGGCCGAGACAUCUAAGAUUGCUCACAUGCCUGAUAAGUGGAGGAAACCAUGAAGGUGUGGGACCUACAUGUGUCCAGCAGGUGUCCAUACAGGAGUCCACACGGGGAAGCAUUCAUUCACUCAGAGUAACUACAAAUCUGUGGACAGUGGUCACAGUGGGAUGGGGAAUAGUCUC